AUUGAACGCUGGCGGCAGGCCUAACACAUGCAAGUCGAGCGAGCGGCGGACGGGUGAGCAAUGUCUGGGAAACUGCCUGCUGGAGGGGGAUAACUACUGUAAACGGUAGCUAAUACCGCGUACAAUCAGAUCUGCCCACAUGGGAUUAGCAAGUAGGUGGGGUAAUGGCUCACCAAGGCGACGAUCCCUAGCUGGUCUGAGAGGAGGACCAGCAAAACUGGAACGUAGACACGUGCCAGACUCCUACGGGAGGCAGCAUUGGGGAAUAUGGCACAAUGGGCGCAAGCCUGAUGCAGCCAUGCCGCGGGUGUGAAGAAGGCCUUCGGGUUGUAAAGCACUUUCAGCGGGGAGGCGUUACCCGCAGAAGAAGCACCGGCUAACUACGUGCCAGCAGCCGCGGUAAUUC
rnacentral:rRNA from 1 species